AACCAAUGCUGGUUGUGAAGUGGUGGUGAACAACCACAACUACAAAGACACACACACACACACACACACACGCACAAAGACACACAGACACAC